rnacentral:rRNA from 1 species
UACAGAGGUGGCAAGCGUUGUUCGGAAUUACUGGGCGUAAAGGGCGCGUAGGCGGUUCGUCAAGUCCUGUGUGAAAUCCCCCGGCUCAACUGGGGAACUGCACAGGAAACUAGCGGGCUUGAGUUCGGGAGAGGGAAGCGGAAUUCCGGGUGUAGCGGUGAAAUGCGUAGAUAUCGGAAGGAACAUCAGUGGCGAAAGCGACUUCCUGGACCAAUACUGACGCUCAUGUGCGAAAGCGUGGGGAGCAAACAGG